UAGGGAAUUUUACGCAAUGGGCGAAAGCCUGACGUAGCGACACCGCGUGAGCGAAGAAGCCUUUUGGGGUGUAAAGCUCUGUCAGCUGGGACGAAAAAAAUGACGGUACCAGCAGAGGAAGCAUCGGCUAACUACGUGCCAGCAGCCGCGGUAAGACGUAGGAUGCAAGCGUUGUCCGGAUUUAUUGGGCGUAAAGAGUUCGUAGGCGGUUUGUUAAGUCUGAUGUUAAAGAUCGGGGCUCAACCCCGGGAGUGCAUUGGAUACUGGCAGACUGGAGUACGGUAGAGGUAAGUGGAAUUUCUGGUGUAGCGGUGAAAUGCGUAGAUAUCAGAAAGAACACCGGUGGCGUAAGCGACUUACUGGGCCAUAACUGACGCUGAGGAACGAAAGCCAGGGGAGCAAAUGGGAUUAGAUACCCCGGUAGUCC
rnacentral:rRNA from 1 species